rnacentral:rRNA from 1 species
UGCAAGUCGAGCGGAGAUGAGGUGCUUGCACCUUAUCUUAGCGGCGGACGGGUGAGUAAUGCUUAGGAAUCUGCCUAUUAGUGGGGGACAACAUUCCGAAAGGAAUGCUAAUACCGCAUACGUCCUACGGGAGAAAGCAGGGGAUCUUCGGACCUUGCGCUAAUAGAUGAGCCUAAGUCGGAUUAGCUAGUUGGUGGGGUAAAGGCCUACCAAGGCGACGAUCUGUAGCGGGUCUGAGAGGAUGAUCCGCCACACUGGGACUGAGACACGGCCCAGACUCCUACGGGAGGCAGCAGUGGGGAAUAUUGGACAAUGGGGGGAACCCUGAUCCAGCCAUGCCGCGUGUGUGAAGAAGGCCUUAUGGUUGUAAAGCACUUUAAGCGAGGAGGAGGCUACUGAGACUAAUACUCUUGGAUAGUGGACGUUACUCGCAGAAUAAGCACCGGCUAACUCUGUGCCAGCAGCCGCGGUAAUACAGAGGGUGCGAGCGUUAAUCGGAUUUACUGGGCGUAAAGCGUGCGUAGGCGGCUUUUUAAGUCGGAUGUGAAAUCCCCGAGCUUAACUUGGGAAUUGCAUUCGAUACUGGGAAGCUAGAGUAUGGGAGAGGAUGGUAGAAUUCCAGGUGUAGCGGUGAAAUGCGUAGAGAUCUGGAGGAAUACCGAUGGCGAAGGCAGCCAUCUGGCCUAAUACUGACGCUGAGGUACGAAAGCAUGGGGAGCAAACAGGAUUAGAUACCCUGGUAGUCCAUGCCGUAAACGAUGUCUACUAGCCGUUGGGGCCUUUGAGGCUUUAGUGGCGCAGCUAACGCGAUAAGUAGACCGCCUGGGGAGUACGGUCGCAAGACUAAAACUCAAAUGAAUUGACGGGGGCCCGCACAAGCGGUGGAGCAUGUGGUUUAAUUCGAUGCAACGCGAAGAACCUUACCUGGCCUUGACAUACUAGAAACUUUCCAGAGAUGGAUUGGUGCCUUCGGGAAUCUAGAUACAGGUGCUGCAUGGCUGUCGUCAGCUCGUGUCGUGAGAUGUUGGGUUAAGUCCCGCAACGAGCGCAACCCUUUUCCUUACUUGCCAGCAUUUCGGAUGGGAACUUUAAGGAUACUGCCAGUGACAAACUGGAGGAAGGCGGGGACGACGUCAAGUCAUCAUGGCCCUUACGGCCAGGGCUACACACGUGCUACAAUGGUCGGUACAAAGGGUUGCUACACAGCGAUGUGAUGCUAAUCUCAAAAAGCCGAUCGUAGUCCGGAUUG